ensembl:lncRNA
CCCGGAAAGCAGCGGCAGCGGCGGGAAGGGGCUCCAAGGAGCAAAGAAUGGCGGCGAGGCGCUGCCGGGAGCAGCAGAAGGCAGCGAGGAGAAGCCGUGAAGCUGCAGAGCGGCGGAGUUGUCUUUUUUCCUUCCCAGGCUGGAAUCUUCCUUCCGCCUUGCUGUGCUGUGGGGAGCAGCUGGAGGCGAUUCUCUUGCAUGAGCGAGGGGUGCAGCCUGGUUCCACCCGGCCCUGAGCUCACGGAAGGGCUGGCUGCCCGCAGGGAAGGAGCUCUGCUUGAGGUCUGCUCCUGGGUGGGCUUUUGUGUGCCCUGUUCCUCAGGAAGGGGUAAGCAGUGCUGGGGUUAUUUGCUAGAUGGAGUGCGCUUGUGUUUCUUGGCUUCCUGAAAGCUGUGUCUGUCUUUUUCACUGCCGGCUGGAGAGACUCGGGGGAGAAAGCGUUGUGCUUGAUGGCACGGUUUCCUUGGGCAAAGGGUGCUUUGGCAGCAGAGGUUUGCUGUCAGGAGGCAUGAAAGCACUGAAGCCAAUGCUGCCGUGCCCUGGGCCCAGAGACAUCAGCUCCCAGCACGUCCCUGGCGGUGGAUGUGCGCAAGCUCUGUGUCUGCCGGUGGUUGCUCCAAAGGCUUUGUGGUCAGCUGUGCGUGGCUGUUUUGCUCUUGAGGGUGUGGGAACAGAGGGCAACACGCUGAUGGGAGUGAUGGUGUCCUGCUCAGCAAAGGAUGUGCUGGGUGGCAGAAGAGGAUUCUUGGCCGAGCGUGGAAAAUCUCUCUGCUCCUUCCUGAAGGUGAGUUUUUCCUGGAUUGCAGGGUGCCCUGGAGGAGGUGACCCCCACUUGACAUCGGUUGGGUAUUUUAAAGCAGCUGAGAUUAAGGAGACAUGACAAAGUUGUGCAAAUGUUCCUGGACGUUCCUAGUUCUUGAAUUGCCUAAAGGAACACAAGCAAUGCAGAGAAAGAAAGAAAGAACGAAAGAAAAAG